GAUGAACGCUGGCGGCGUGCCUAAUACAUGCAAGUCGAGCGAACAGACGAGGCGCUUGCUCCUCUGACGUUAGCGGCGGACGGGUGAGUAACACGUGGAUAACCUACCUAUAAGACUGGGAUAACUUCGGGAAACCGGAUCUAAUACCGGAUAAUAUAGUGAACCGCAUGGUUCAAUAGUGAAAGACGGUUUUGCUGUCACUUAUAGAUGGAUCCGCGCCGCAUUAGCUAGUUGGUAAGGUAACGGCUUACCAAGGCGACGAUGCGUAGCCGACCUGAGAGGGUGAUCGGCCACACUGGAACUGAGACACGGUCCAGACUCCUACGGGAGGCAGCAGUAGGGAAUCUUCCGCAAUGGGCGAAAGCCUGACGGAGCAACGCCGCGUGUGUGAUGAAGGUCUUCGGAUCGUAAAGCUCUGUUAUUAGGGAAGAACAAAUGUGUAAGUAACUAUGCACGUCUUGACGGUACCUAAUCAGAAAGCCACGGCUAACUACGUG
rnacentral:rRNA from 1 species